UAUAUGUCUAAUAUUAUCACUAAGGUUUUCACCAAUAUCAAUCUCAUUCACAAAGAUUCAUCAUCAAUCAAAAUACUAAAACCCUAAAUAUACAUUUCCCUCAUGUCAACCAUAAUUGAGAAUCAUUAUCUAUCCUUACCUUGUUAUUCCUAGCAAUGAUCUCUUCAACCUCUAGCAAUGAUGCUCUUCCUAUGCUUCUCCUUCUUUUCCCUGGCCUCUUUCUCUACUUUCUCCUCACAACUUCACGUAGAAUGCAA
rnacentral:lncRNA from 1 species